rnacentral:lncRNA from 1 species
UGGAUUGGAACGCUGUUGAUAGAUUAGAUUCAAGGGUAUCAGAAAAGGAUGACUGUAUCGAGGAUGAAUCAGUUUGGAGUGAAGAAAAGUCGAGACAUCCAUGGUGGCGAGUCUCUGAUAAAGAUGAACUUGCUCUAUUAGUUGCAAAGAAAUCACUAGACAGGAUUGAAAAUUGUGAUUUACCUCCACCUAUGAAAGUGCAUGUCAGUGUUGAUCCACUCGCUUGCCUUGGAAGAUCUGAUGAUACUGUGAAACUAUCUACUUCGUCUUUUGACACGAAUCUAAAUGGUUUAAUCUACAACCAUGUUUGUCAUGCAGUGCACAGC